UUUUGUAAAGAAAAACACAAUAAUAUUUUGUUCAUUUACCAGUAUGAUAUUGUAUAAUGUAGAACCGAAAAUUAUUGUACAUUUUAAAAUAGAAAAUUGUAAAUAAUAUUGUAUUUAGUUGUAGAAAAUACACAUUUUUUAUUGUUAAUGAAAAAAGUUGUAUCCUUCACAACAUUCUUACAUUUCAGCAGUGUAAAACUAACAUUUACAUUCUGUGAUGAUUAAAUCCAAAUGAAUUGGAAGCUAGCUUAGCUUUUUUUUGCUAGGGAGAAGUAAGUUUGGGCUUCCUUGUUUAAGCUGUUGCCCCUGUGACCCAACUCCAGAUGGACAAUAAAAUAAAUGAAUAAAUUAAUAGAUUUGGAAAUUAAUGUGGAAUUAAGUAAUUAUGAUUCCACAUUAUUUACUUCCAAUUUUGUUCACUAUUUAUCUAUUCACUUGUGUUUUCCCACUUCUUUAGAUUGUCAUUUCCUCUUUAAUUCAUUUACUUAUUAUUUGUCAAUUUUGAUUGGAUAAUUUCUUCAUAUUUCACGACUAACGUGGAGGAAACACCUGAAUCAAAAAAGAAUUCAUGUACUUGCUUAUUGGUACAUGUAUUUUAUUUUUAUUUAUUAUUUUUGCUAACACUGGAUUUUUUACCUUCACCGUUGCCAUUAUAAGCUCAAAGUUCGGCUACUGCAAGAAAGACAGAGAUCACCGCUUUGUGCUCAAGUUCCGGUCUGUUCUGCUCUCUAAUUGGUUCGCUUACCUGCUCUCUAAUUGGUUCGCUUACCUGGCGCCUGAAAGCUGUUUUGAAAAAGUUCGUCCAACGGUUCUCAUCUCAGAAGAAGCUGAAUUGUGCUCAAACCUUGACAAAGAAAAGAACGCUGUUUGGACCUCGUCAGCUUUCAGCAAAUCGAACCCCUGCAGCUUACAAUUUGGCAGUGCAUCAUCGAGAGAUUGGAAGCAUUCAAGACAACAAAGGUGUCAAGAAAUGGCUGAGCAAACAUUUUUACGCAGUGCUAUCAAUGAAGUGUUGCCCGAACUUGCAGAGGCUUCAAAAGACAUUCUCGAGGAGACUUUACAGUCAAUUGGAGUAGAAAACGUAUGAUGACUUCCAGUUCAUUGUUGAGAAGGACUUGC